CACUGCCGAGAAAAGCCUCUAGAUAGAAAAUAGGUGCCCGUACCGCAAACCGACACAGGUAGUCAAGAUGAGAAUUCUAAGGUGAGCGAGCGAACUCUCGUUAAGGAACUCGGCAAAAUGACCCCGUAACUUCGGGAGAAGGGGUGCUCUUUAGGGUUAACGCCCAGAAGAGCCGCAGUGAAUAGGCCCAAGCGACUGUUUAUCAAAAACACAGGUCUCUGCUAAACCGUAAGGUGAUGUAUAGGGGCUGACGCCUGCCCGGUGCUGGAAGGUUAAGAGGAGUGGUUAGCUUCUGCGAAGCUACGAAUCGAAGCCCCAGUAAACGGCGGCCGUAACUAUAACGGUCCUAAGGUAGCGAAAUUCCUUGUCGGGUAAGUUCCGACCCGCACGAAAGGCGUAACGAUUUGGGCACUGUCUCAACGAGAGACUCGGUGAAAUCAUAGUACCUGUGAAGAUGCAGGUUACCCGCGACAGGACGGAAAGACCCCGUGGAGCUUUACUGUAGCCUGAUAUUGAAAUUCGGCACAGCUUGUACAGGAUAGGUAGGAGCCUUUGAAACGUGAGCGCUAGCUUACGUGGAGGCGCUGGUGGGAUACUACCCUAGCUGUGUUGGCUUUCUAACCCGCACCACUUAUC
rnacentral:rRNA from 1 species